UACGUAGGGUGCGAGCGUUGUCCGGAAUUAUUGGGCGUAAAGAGCUCGUAGGCGGUCUGUCGCGUCGGAUGUGAAAACCCAGGGCUUAACCCUGGGCCUGCAUUCGAUACGGGCAGACUAGAGUUCGGUAGGGGAGACUGGAAUUCCUGGUGUAGCGGUGAAAUGCGCAGAUAUCAGGAGGAACACCGGUGGCGAAGGCGGGUCUCUAGGCCGUAACUGACGCUGAGGAGCGAAAGCGUGGGGAGCGAACAGG
rnacentral:rRNA from 1 species